GAUGAACGCUGGCGGCGUGCCUAAUACAUGCAAGUCGAGCGAACAGACGAGGAGCUUGCUCCUCUGACGUUAGCGGCGGACGGGUGAGUAACACGUGGAUAACCUACCUAUAAGACUGGGAUAACUUCGGGAAACCGGAGCUAAUACCGGAUAAUAUAUUGAACCGCAUGGUUCAAUAGUGAAAGACGGUUUUGCUGUCACUUAUAGAUGGAUCCGCGCCGCAUUAGCUAGUUGGUAAGGUAACGGCUUACCAAGGCAACGAUGCGUAGCCGACCUGAGAGGGUGAUAGGCCACACGGGAACUGGGACACGGUCCAGACUCCUACGGGAGGCAGCAGUAGGGAAUCGUCCGCAAUGGGCGAGAGCUUGACGGAGCAACGCCGCGUGAGUGAUGAAGGUCUUCGGAUCGUAAAACUCUGUUAUUAGGGAAGAACAAAUGUGUAAGUAACUAUGCACGUCUUGACGGUACCUAAUCAGAAAGCCACGGCUAACUACGUG
rnacentral:rRNA from 1 species